CCCUUAGAUGUUCUGGGCCGCACGCGCGCUACACUGAUGAAUUCAACGAGCUCCUAACCUAGGCCGAAGGGCCUGGGUAAUCUUUGAAAUUUCAUCGUGAUGGGGAUAGAUUAUUGCAAUUAUUAAUCUUCAACGAGGAAUUCCUAGUAAGCGCGAGUCAUCAGCUCGCGUUGAUUACGUCCCUGCCCUUUGUACACACCGCCCGUCGCUCCUACCGAUUGAAUGGUCCGGUGAAAUGUUCGGACCGCGACAAGGCGGACGGUUCGCUGUCAGCUUUGCUGCGGGAAGUUCAUUAAACCUUAUCAUUUAGAGGAAGGAGAAGUCGUAACA
rnacentral:rRNA from 1 species